rnacentral:rRNA from 1 species
UACGUAGGGACCAAGCGUUGUUCGGAUUUACUGGGCGUAAAGGGCGCGUAGGCGGCGCGGUAAGUCACUUGUGAAAUCUCUGAGCUUAACUCAGAACGGCCAAGUGAUACUGCAGUGCUAGAGUGUGGAAGGGGCAAUCGGAAUUCUUGGUGUAGCGGUGAAAUGCGCAGAUAUCAGGAGGAACACCAAUGGCGAAGGCAGCUCGCUGGGACGUGAACUGACGCUGAGGCGCGAAAGCGUGGGGAGCAAACAGG